CCUUUGGCCAAUCCGCGGCGCCUGUGGGCGGGCCCUCUCCCGAGCUGGUGGCCCGCCCCCGACUUCUCGUCGCGGUUUGCCAUUGGGCGAAGGCGCGUGACGGAAAGGCUGCAGGCCACGUGGUGGUGUUUUCAUUGCCAGAGCCUCCGGGUCGGCUGGCUGGGCUCCGGCACCUGCGUCCCUCGGACACCGCAGAGGAGACAAAGCGACGCGCUCGCUCCUGCCCCACCCAAACCGCCUGGCGAGUCACUCGGAACGUGACCUGAGAAAGAGCUGAACUCUGGUGGACCGUGCAUGGGAGCACUCGCGGGAAGAGCUGGAGCAGAGACGGGGUAAUCAUUCCUCCCAACUCCCAUCUGCUGGAAGAAGCUGGUUUUAUUUCGGGUUGGAGAAGGCGCUAAGAAUUCGAGGAUGCUUGGUGGACAGUGCCAUCUAGUGGUCGGUGGGAGUAGUUCCAGGCUGGUUGGGUGGACCUUGAGAAAGGCUUGAGUGAUAAGAUAUCCUGUGUCCUUCCAAAAUGGCUUUACGGUGGGUUAAUUAGAAACCGAGAGGCAUCCUAUACCACUUCCUCUAUAGAAGGGGAAGUUUGGAUGGGAUUUUAAUAUUCAUCUAUUCCAUAAAGUGCCCACUAUGUGCCAAGCAUGAUUCCGGGUCCUAGAGAUACAGUGCUGUACAAAAUAAAUAAAAAUGCUUGCUCACGUGGGCAGAGGGACCACAGACAAGGAAA